GAGCUCCGGGUCUCCGGAGCCUCCAGCACCAGGGUCUGAUUUUUGGAUGACGGUUCCCCAGGGGACCGGGACGCACCAAGGGUGAACGAGCUGGCCAAACCUCGUGGUAGUGGUGCCCGAUAUUAGCGAGACUAACACAAGAGGGUUACUCCAGCAAAUUAAAUGAUCUCAAAAGAUACGAAGCCUCAAAGAACGAUGUCAACAAGUCUCCCAAAAGUAAACAGCACCUAAAUGAGGUUUUAUUUUCAAACACGCCUUCCACCCAAUGUGCCGCCGAAAGAUUUGGGGAAGAAAGAGCGCCGACGCUCGGAGCGGGAAGAAGCAACUUUUCUAAACUGAGCCGAAGCAGAUCCUAGCCAGGAUCCUGGGCGCCUGGAGGCCCACUUCCACCGGGCGGGGUCGCACGGGAGCUACGGGUCGCCAGCAGCUUUCCCCAGCCGCCCUGACACCACCGGGAGAAGACCGCAGGCUGCGGAGACUC